UGUUUCGGCUAGGGGGUCAUCCCGACUUACCAACCCGAUGCAAACUACGAAUACCGAAGAAUGUUAUCACGGGAGACACACGGCGGGUGCUAACGUCCGUCGUGAAGAGGGAAACAACCCAGACCGCCAGCUAAGGUCCCAAAGUCAUGGUUAAGUGGGAAACGAUGUGGGAAGGCCCAGACAGCCAGGAUGUUGGCUUAGAAGCAGCCAUCAUUUAAAGAAAGCGUAAUAGCUCACUGGUCGAGUCGGCCUGCGCGGAAGAUGUAACGGGGCUAAACCAUGCACCGAAGCUGCGGCAGCGACACUAUGUGUUGUUGGGUAGGGGAGCGUUCUGUAAGCCGUUGAAGGUGGCCUGUGAGGGUUGCUGGAGGUAUCAGAAGUGCGAAUGCUGACAUAAGUAACGAUAAUGCGGGUGAAAAACCCGCACGCCGGAAGACCAAGGGUUCCUGUCCAACGUUAAUCGGGGCAGGGUGAGUCGACCCCUAAGGCGAGGCCGAAAGGCGUAGUCGAUGGGAAACAGGUUAAUAUUCCUGUACUUGGUGUUACUGCGAAGGGGGGACGGAGAAGGCUAUGUUGGCCGGGCGACGGUUGUCCCGGUUUAAGCAUGUAGGCGGAUGUUCCAGGUAAAUCCGGAACGUCACUAACGCUGAGGUGUGAUGACGAGGCACUACGGUGCUGAAGUGACAAAUGCCCUGCUUCCAGGAAAAGCCUCUAAGCAUCAGGUAACAUCAAAUCGUACCCCAAACCGACACAGGUGGUCAGGUAGAGAAUACCAAGGCGCUUGAGAGAACUCGGGUGAAGGAACUAGGCAAAAUGGUGCCGUAACUUCGGGAGAAGGCACGCUGAUGGUAAGUGAAGUGACUUGCUCAUGGAGCUGAA
rnacentral:rRNA from 1 species